AGAGUUUGAUCCUGGCUCAGGACGAACGCUGGCGGCGUGCCUAAUACAUGCAAGUCGAGCGAGCUUGCCUAGAUGAUUUUAGUGCUUGCACUAAAUGAUUACUAGAUAGCAAGCGAGCGGCGGACGGGUGAGUAACACGUGGGUAACCUACCCAAGAGACUGGGAUAACACCUGGAAACAGAUGCUAAUACCGGAUAACAACACUAGACGCAUGUCUAGAGUUUGAAAGAUGGUUCUGCUAUCACUCUUGGAUGGACCUGCGGUGCAUUAGCUAGUUGGUAAGGUAACGGCUUACCAAGGCAAUGAUGCAUAGCCGAGUUGAGAGACUGAUCGGCCACAUUGGGACUGAGACACGGCCCAAACUCCUACGGGAGGCAGCAGUAGGGAAUCUUCCACAAUGGACGAAAGUCUGAUGGAGCAACGCCGCGUGAGUGAAGAAGGGUUUCGGCUCGUAAAGCUCUGUUGGUAGUGAAGAAAGAUAGAGGUAGUAACUGGCCUUUAUUUGACGGUAAUUACUUAGAAAGUCACGGCUAACUACGUGCCAGCAGCCGCGGUAAUACGUAGGUGGCAAGCGUUGUCCGGAUUUAUUGGGCGUAAAGCGAGUGCAGGCGGUUCAAUAAGUCUGAUGUGAAAGCCUUCGGCUCAACCGGAGAAUUGCAUCAGAAACUGUUGAACUUGAGUGCAGAAGAGGAGAGUGGAACUCCAUGUGUAGCGGUGGAAUGCGUAGAUAUAUGGAAGAACACCAGUGGCGAAGGCGGCUCUCUGGUCUGCAACUGACGCUGAGGCUCGAAAGCAUGGGUAGCGAACAGGAUUAGAUACCCUGGUAGUCCAUGCCGUAAACGAUGAGUGCUAAGUGUUGGGAGGUUUCCGCCUCUCAGUGCUGCAGCU
rnacentral:rRNA from 1 species